UGACCUUCACCACAUUUUUGACUCAGUUAGACUUUGUUCCGAGAGAAAGACUUGCCAAAGCAGCAUGACUAAAUUUGUGUGCGCAAUUCUUCUCAUCUUUGCAAUGGCUUUUGUGAGUCAAGUUGCCUAUGGUGGUGGCGAAGGAUCGCUUACACCGUCGCAAUGUCCAAGCGCAUGCGAUUAUCGUUGUUCAAAGACUCAGUACAAGAAGGCGUGUGUUUUCUUCUGUAACUAUUGUUGUUUGAAAUGUUUGUGUGUCCCUUCGGGAACCUAUGGUAACAAGGAAGAGUGUCCAUGCUACAACAACAUGAAAACCAAGAGAGGAACACCCAAGUGUCCUUGAUUCAACUUCUCUCAUGUUGUUUUUCCUCUGUUUCUCAUUAAUAAUUAAAAUUUGUAUUGUUGUCAAGUACACUAAUAUGUGUUAUCUUAUGUGGUUCAACAAAUAAAAAUCAGUGCUUCUCUCA